UACGCUGUGCGGCAGGCCUAACACAUAGCAAGUCGAGCGGUAGAGAGAAGCUUGCUUCUCUUGAGAGCGGCGGACGGGUGAGUAAUGCCUAGGAAUCUGCCUGGUAGUGGGGGAUAACGUUCGGAAACGGACGCUAAUACCGCAUACGUCCUACGGGAGAAAGCAGGGGACCUUCGGGCCUUGCGCUAUCAGAUGAGCCUAGGUCGGAUUAGCUAGUUGGUGAGGUAAUGGCUCACCAAGGCGACGAUCCGUAACUGGUCUGAGAGGAUGAUCAGUCACACUGGAACUGAGACACGGUCCAGACUCCUACGGGAGGCAGCAGUGGGGAAUAUUGGACAAUGGGCGAAAGCCUGAUCCAGCCAUGCCGCGUGUGUGAAGAAGGUCUUCGGAUUGUAAAGCACUUUAAGUUGGGAGGAAGGGUUGUAGAUUAAUACUCUGCAAUUUUGACGUUACCGACAGAAUAAGCACCGGCUAACUCUGUGCCAGCAGCCGCGGUAAUACAGAGGGUGCAAGCGUUAAUCGGAAUUACUGGGCGUAAAGCGCGCGUAGGUGGUUUGUUAAGUUGGAUGUGAAAUCCCCGGGCUCAACCUGGGAACUGCAUUCAAAACUGACUGACUAGAGUAUGGUAGAGGGUGGUGGAAUUUCCUGUGUAGCGGUGAAAUGCGUAGAUAUAGGAAGGAACCCCAGUGGGGAAGGCGACCACCUGGACUAAUACGGAC
rnacentral:rRNA from 1 species